CUCACGAUCCUAUAAAUAUCCCGUGGGUUUGCAUUAACAGAACUCACUGCACCUUUGCUCUGCAUGUAAGAUCAGCUCAACCAAUGACUUCUCCAGCACGUGUCUCAGCUCGUGGAACAGAGUGGAUCCAACAUCAGAUGUUCUCCCUGGUGUAGCUCAGCUUCUGGUGUCAUGGAGUCCUCUCUCUUAUCUGCUGCAGUGAUCCUGUGACCGACCAUUUUAGUCACGGCAACACAAUGAGUGAGCCAUGUAGCUGCGUUCCCACUAGAAGACACUCAGAUCCCAGCAAUGAACACCACUUGGCCAUGGUGUGAUCCUGUUUGAGUGCAGUACUGAAUUCUAUUCGGUAACGAUUCAUUUUGUCCAUUGUACCAUCAUUAGUACAUUUUCUUGGUUAUAUAUCCUUCAUAUACUCUCAAAGGUCCUGUUCUUAAUAGCUUGAUUGCUUUAUGAAGAUAUUAAAGAUUUUUUAAUUUAUAUUUUCACAAAUUUCACUAGCCUUGGAAAACAUAUGAAACUUGCUACAAGAUAUAAAGGACUUACCUGUGCAGUUGCCAGAAGCUAGGGCUAUUAGGACCUUAGUGUUGGCCACCUUUACCUAUUUUCAUGAUUCUCAGGCUUGAAUGCACAUUAAAAUCGCCUGCAGAACUUUAAAAAUUACUCAUGUGUAUGUGUGUGGGGGGAGGGGUGAUAGAUAUGCUGUUAUUUUGAUUCAUCCCAUAAUACAAACAUUUAUCAGAACAUCAUAUUGUACUACAUACACAUACACAUUAUCUUCUAUCUGUCUGUCUGACUGUCUAUCUCUAGCUCUCUAUUUAUCUAUCAUCUAUCUAUCAUUUAUCAAUCUCUAUCAACUAUCAACUAUCUAUCUAUCUAUCAUCUAUCUGUCUAUCUAUCUAUCUAUCAUCUAUCUAUCUAUGAUUGUUAUUUGUCAAUUCAAAUUUUAAUGCACUGAUGCCUGAAUACCUCCCAAUACCUACUGUUUUAAUGGUCUGGUAAACAGUCUGGGCAUAUGCGGUGUUUUUAAAAUUCUCCAGGAGAGUAUAACAUGUAGCCAGCAUUUGGAACUACUUACAACAUUCAGCAAUGAGGAAUUUCACUCAGGAUAUUAGUCUAACUUCAUCUUUUUUCAAUGAAUUUUAAUGAUUUAUGGUAAUCCAUAAUAAUGCUCGUUUCUUCCCUGCUUUUAAACUGAUCCUAGAAUCUUGCAAAACACUGUUGCAUGAUUGUUUUUUGCUGUGUUGGAGUCUGAUGUACUCAUUGAGGUUACAUAGGAAAAGUAAACUCUCUCUUCUUGGUGGGAAACCUAUUCACACUUUAAGAGAACUCUCAGAUUCUGCCUACGUCUUCACUUCAAAGGCCCCUGCAAUGGUUUGUUAUGUAAUUCUAGAUCUGUGCUGCUGUGGGAUGUUCUGUAUGGCAAAUGUGUUGCUAAUUAGUCAAUAAAUAAAACACUGAUUGGCCAUUGGCUAGGCAGGAAGUGUAGGCGGGACCAGGAAGAGAAUAAAGCUGGGAAGUGGAAGGCUGAGUCAGAGAGACACUGCCAGCCGCCAUGAUGAGAAACAGCAUGUGAAGGUGCCGGUAAGCCACAAGCCAUGUGGCAAGGCAUAGAUUUAUAGAAAUGGAUUAAUUUAAGCUUUAAGAACAGUUAGCAAGAAGCCUGCCACGGCCAUACAGUUUGUAACCAAUAUAAGUCUCUGUGUUUACUUGAUCGGGUUUGAGCGGCUUGGGACUGGCGGGUGAGAGAGAUUUGUCCUGACUGUGGGCCAGGCAGGAAAACUCUAGCUACAAAUGGCGCCCAACGUGGGGCAAGAGUUUCCACCUAAAAACUGAAAAAAAAAGAUACUAAAACGGAGCUAAAAACAGUUUCCUAAUUGUCUCUCUCAAAUGAGCGGCAGCUACCAGUUUGAGCUACUGGUGGGUUCCUAGAGUGCAUGCUCAACCUGCAGUAUGGCGGGAAUGAGGCCUCUGCAAGUGGCACAUUAAGCUACAUGGUGGAUUUAGCCUUUGCUAGUACAAAACAAAAAAGGGUUUCUGGGCUACUUGCUGCUUGGAUAAAAGCAUAGACCCACGAUAGCUCCCAGAGCUGGCGGUAAACCACAGCCAUGUUGGGAAGCUGAGGUGGGCGGAGCCAGCAGCCACAGCUGCUGCAGUUUAAGGCAAUAGAUUCACAAUAAGACAGAUUCAGAUGUAAUAGUUUACAAUGUGUGUAAAAUAUACGUAGGCUUGAAAGAGACAAAAAAGGUGAUAUAUACAGUUAUAGAAACAAAUACAUAGUUUUAAAAAAUAAUGUCUUUAAAGAGACAAUAAAGGUAGUAUAAAAAAUAAGCCACGUAAAAAUGGAUAUUACACAGAAAAUCUGGAUUGUGUUGUCUUUGGGAUUUUUAACUGCAGAAAAACAUUUGAUUGUAAAAGCUGUUGAGUUAAACCAAUAUAUAUAUUUUAAAGAUACCUUGACUUCAAAAUUUGGAUAUAAGGAUGUGUUGCUUUGGAAAAGAGUCUCUUUUGUUUCCACAGAAAGCCAGAGGCUAUAGAUUUGUUCCAGAUUAAGAUACAUCAGGUUUGACCAGCCAAGACCCCCUGAAAGGUCUCCGAUGACACCAUGGCCCAGAUGAUCCAACAUCCAGAACGGUUUGAAGGCAUCUGGCUCAGACGAUACAGCCUCAUGGACUAUUCCAUAAUCCUAAAAUUUUCUUUGUUUCCCCAUAAGAUACAGCGCCCCCCUCCAACAGGAAGUAGUAAGAGAAGCUACGCCCAAAUUCCCAAAUUAUAUGUAAUAAAUUAUAUGUGGCAAGGCAUAGAUUUAUAGAAAUGGAUUAAUUUAAGCUUUAAGAACAGUUAGCAAGAAGCCUGCCACGGCCAUACAGUUUGUAACCAAUAUAAGUCUCUGUGUUUACUUGAUCGGGUUUGAGCGGCUUGGGACUGGUGGGUGAGAGAGAUUUGUCCUGACUGUGGGCCAGGCAGGAAAACUCUAGCUACACUGUGCCAUCCUGUUUGUCUCUAAACACAAUUCCACCAAUUUAAGACCACUUCGACAAACCAGAAAACUAUGGAAAUAUCAGUCAGGUAGUUGGCUGGGCAGGGGAGUAAGC